UUUAUACUUUUCAUAAUAAAAGACUAUAAUAUACGUUUAUGUUAUUAUUCAUAUUAACAAUACACAACAAAGACGUUUAUUAUGUGUUAUAUAUACCAGCAGUUCUCAACCUGGGGAUUGCCACAAUUUUUUUUGGGUCGCCAGUACAUUGGUACAAUUUUUAAUGCUAUCAUAAUAAAAGGGCCACCAAAAAUCUUCAACAAAAAGUUAACAUGAAUAAAAAUGGACGCAGUGUCUGCCCAAAUUUAUGUGGUCGAAGUUUUAAGCAUCCAGUGGAUAUGAAGUAUCACUGGCGCAAUGAAUGUGGUAUUAGAUUCAAUUGUCCACUUUGUGAUAAAACGUAUAAUCAAAAGACACACCUUAAACGGCAUUCAGCAUUAAUUCAUGGAGUAAUACCUAUUUAGUUAUUUUUAUUAUUUAAAUAAAUACAUUUCUAUAGACCGUUACGUAGUUUUUAGAACUUUUGUUUAAUUCUUUACAGAAUAACAAAAGAAAAAAUGUUUUAAUCAUUGGUAUAUCUUUGUAUCUUGCUGUGGUAUGAUGCAGAUAUGGUAAAUGGACCACUUAAAGGGUCCAUUAAUGAAAACAUUUAACUUUUUAUGUCCAACAAAAACCAAUUAAAAUAAAUAUAUUUUAUUCUAUUGAAAAUUAUUUUUACAAAACAACAAUAUUUUACAAAUUGAAACUAUUGUAAAUUAUUUACUUCCAUUAUCUUGAUCCCGAUUGUAUAGCUUAUUCCUAUUGCCAGGGCCUUUUUUUUUGUAACUAGAUCCUGCAUAUUAUCUUGUAGUCAUCGUAUAUUAUAAUAGCUAUCUAAUAAUGACUAAGAUAAAGUUAUAUUAUUGAAAGGUUAUGAAUAUUAAGCAGUUAUACAAUGUUUAAUGCAUUACAAUUUUUAAUUUAAUUUAAAGAGGAAAUACUUUAUUGGUGAGUUUUUUAAAUUAAAUUUAUCAUGUCCUGUAAUAAAUUUAGUUUGAUGUAAAUGUAUGAAUAAAAGUGUUAGCAUGAUUUAACUUCAUUAUUUAUUUUACCUAUUAGCUAUUCUUAUCUAAUGCUUUGUCCCUGUUUUUUAACCUUCGCUUAGUGAAGGAGUAUAACUUUAAUUAGGGAAAUUUAUAAAUAAUUAUUUUAUACUUGAAAUUAUUAUUGAAUUAAAUCUAU
rnacentral:misc_RNA from 1 species